AAAUUUGAAAAAAAAAAAGUUUUUAAAAAAAAAUUUCAAAAUAAAAAUUAUAAAAAUUUCGAAUCUGAAAACAUAUAAUCUGAAACUAUAAAAUAAAUUUUUUUAUUUUUAUUUUUUUUUUUAUUUUAUUUUAUUUUAUUUAUUUUUAUUUAUUUAUUUAAUUUCAAACCAAGGGUAUUAGUGAUAUUUUACCCUUUAAUGAAUGUCA
rnacentral:lncRNA from 1 species